rfam:Lentibacillus amyloliquefaciens strain LAM0015, complete genome.
CCAAACUUUACAACGCAGGAUGGGAAUGACGGAACCAUCCCGUCAAUACUCCUGCAUGCGUCAUGACUGGCAGGUCAUGGGGUUUUAAGAACAGGUAGAUUCGGCAGAACAAAGGCUGAAGCCAUUCCUUUUGGAAAAGGUAUGCCGUACGGCUGAAAA